ACGGGAGGCAGCAGUGGGGAAUAUUGGGCAAUGGGCGAAAGCCUGACCCAGCAACGCCGCGUGAAGGAAGACGGUCUUCGGAUUGUAAACUUCUUUUAUGAGGGAAGAAGGAAGUGACGGUACCUCAUGAAUAAGCCACGGCUAACUACGUGCCAGCAGCCGCGGUAAUACGUAGGUGGCGAGCGUUAUCCGGAUUUACUGGGUGUAAAGGGAGCGUAGGCGGUGAUGCAAGUCAGGUGUGAAAUCUAUGGGCUUAACUCAUAAACUGCAUUUGAAACUGUAUCACUUGAGUGCUGGAGAGGUAGAUGGAAUUCCUUGUGUAGCGGUGAAAUGCGUAGAUAUAAGGAAGAACACCAGUGGCGAAGGCGAUCUACUGGACAGUAACUGACGCUGAGGCGCGAAAGCGUGGGGAGCAAACAGGAUUAGAUACCCUGGUA
rnacentral:rRNA from 1 species